AGCAGUAUUGAACUGAAGAGUUUGAUCAUGGCUCAGAUUGAACGCUGGCGGCAGGCCUAACACAUGCAAGUCGAGCGGAUGAAGGGAGCUUGCUCCUGGAUUCAGCGGCGGACGGGUGAGUAAUGCCUAGAAAUCUGCCUGGUAGUGGGGGAUAACGUCCGGAAACGGGCGCUAAUACCGCAUACGUCCUGAGGGAGAAA
rnacentral:rRNA from 1 species